CAGGAACAAAUCUCCAUCAAAACCAGACCCAAACUCCAUCAGAACCAGGAGGAAUUCUCCAUCAGGACCAGUUAGGCACCCAUUAUCAGAACCAGGUCCAAACUCAAUCAGAACCAGAAAGAAUAUGCUAACGUUAGGAUUGUAGCUUCUUUUUCUCCUCUCUUAGCUAAAGAACACAUUUGCAUUUUUUAGGCAAUUUCCUGUUUGUUUUUGUGUUUCUUUAGCGUAUUUGUUGUUA